ACCCGUGCAUAGGUCCAUUGAUGUACCCGACCACAGCCAGAUUGCUAGAAAAACUGACAGCCAUGUUUGUUUAUCGCAAUCAGCAGCAGUUUAGAAAUUAUUUAGCUCCCAAACUUUGCUUAUUGAUUACAUUUGUAGUACAAAAUGUCUGUUUAUCACUCAACACUGUUGGCAAAGCACGUCCCUAAUAUGAAGAAAAUUGUGCUUCAUUGCAGCAUCCGACCAGGGGGCAUGGAGGUUUCUAUUUGUCUCUGAUCCGACCGAACAUCCAGCGGAAUCAUCUAUCAGCAGAACAUUCGAAGGUAUGAAAUUCUCGAAGAAAGGGCGGGUGGCGAAAUCAUUCCAGCGGAUUCAGGUCACCAUGCAAUCAUUGAACUUCCCUACUGCUGGGCCUCGUUGACCGUAUUCAUUUGAUUUGUGUUAGAAUCAUAGUGUGAAAUAAAACGUGCUUCACCAAUA